rnacentral:snoRNA from 1 species
UCCAUGAUGAUGAAUGAAGAUGUUUCCUUCAGAGCAGGAAGCUGGUGAGAAGAUGAGAAUCUUCUUCACUGAUGAAGACUGUUCAGUGUUUCUGGAUGUGACACUGAAGGAGGAAACAUUGUCUGAGUGGA